rnacentral:rRNA from 1 species
UAUGUACAGGAAUACAACGUUAAUGUAGUGGAUCCCAUCAAAACUUUGUAGCUAAGCGUGCUUGGUCUAGAUUAGUACUGGGAUGGGUGACCUAUUGAGAAGUCCUAGUGUUCUACAUGC